CCAAGUACAGUGGUGCCCCGCAAGACGAACGCCUCGCAAGACGAAAAACUCGCAAGACGAAAGGUUUUUUCGUUUUCGAGUUGCUUCGCAAGACGAAUGUCCCUAUGGGCUUGCUUCGCAAGACGAAAACGUCUUGCAAGUUUGUUUCCUUUUUCGUAAAACCGUUAAAACCCAGGGUGCAUUGCUGGAAGAGGUGCAGUUGCGACUUGACCUCGAGGAGCAACACAUUGCACGCGGUGUGGUGGCCUUUCUGAGCUUUUUAAAGAGUUUGCUGGAUUUUUGAAGCUUUUCCAAAACUUCUUCUACAGCUGUUUGGUAAGUUGAACUUUUAAAACUUUUUUUUGGGUUUUGGGGAUUUUGGGUUGGGGUGUUUAGAAUUCAAGGACUUGGUGUUGGGGAGAGGUUUGCAAGAAUCUGGGAGCUUGUGUGGUUUUUUUCUGCAUUUUUAUGAUUUUCUGUGACCAUUGGGCCAUGUUUAUUUUUUUUAAAAAAAAAAAUCUGGCUUUGAAUUUUUGAAUUUCUGUGUGCUGGGUGGAUGGGGGAACAGCUGGGGAGGUGUUUGCAAGAAUCUGGGAGCUUGUGUGCUUUUUUUUGAAUUUUUAUGAUUUUUUUGUGACCAUUGGGCCAUGUUGUUUUUUUUUGAAAAAAGUUUCUGGGUUUUAAAUUUCUGUGUGCUGGGUGGAUGGGGGAACAGCUGGGGAGGUGUUUGCAAGAAUCUGGGAGCUUGUGUGCUUUUUUUUGAAUUUUUAUGAUUUUUUUGUGACCAUUGGGCCAUGUUGUUUUUUUUAAAAAA
rnacentral:lncRNA from 1 species